CCUACGGGAGGCUGCAGUGGGGAAUAUUGCACAAUGGGGGAAACCCUGCUGCAGCGACGCCGCGUGAGUGAAGAAGUAUCUCGGUACGUAAAGCUCUAUCAGCAGGGAAGACAAUGACGGUACCUGACUCAGAAGCCCCGGCUAACUACGUGCCAGCAGCCGCGGUAAUACGUAGGGGGCAAGCGUUAUCCGGAUUUACUGGGUGUAAAGGGAGCGUAGACGGCAGCACAAGUCUGGAGUGAAAGCCCGGGGCUUAACCCCGGCACUGCUUUGGAAACUGUGCGGCUGGAGUGCAGGAGGGGUAAGCGGAAUUCCUAGUGUAGCGGUGAAAUGCGUAGAUAGUAGGAGGAACACCGGUGGCGAAGGCGGCUUACUGGACUGUAACUGACGUUGAGGCUCGAAAGCGUGGGGAGCAAACAGGAUUAGAUACCCUGGUAGUC
rnacentral:rRNA from 1 species